rnacentral:rRNA from 1 species
CAAAACAUCUUUUCUCGUUAGUUUUUGAAGUAUGGCCUGCCCGCUGACUUUGGUGUUGAAGGGCCGCGGUAUUUUGACCGUGCAAAGGUAGCAUAGUCAUUAGUUCUUUAAUUGUGAUCUGGUAUGAAUGGCUUGACGAGGCAUGGGCUGUCUUAAUUUUGAAUUGUUUAUUGAAUUUGGUCUUUGAGUUAAAAUUCUUAGAUGUUUUUAUGGGACGAGAAGACCCUAUAGAGUUUAACAUUUAUUACGGUUCUUUUCUGUUUGUGAGGGUUCGCUGGGCCGUUUAGUAUGUUUCGUUGGGGUGAUGGGAGGGAUUUAUUUAACCCCUCCUUUGUGUUGUUAUAUUUAUUUAUAUUUAUUUGAUCCAUUUAUUUUGAUUGUAAGAUUAAAUUACCUUAGGGAUAACAGCGUUAUCCCCCUUGAGAGUUCUUAUCGGCAGGGGGGUUUGCGACCUCGAUGUUGGAUUAAGGUUUAUUUUCGGUGUAGGGGCUGGAAGUUUUAGGUCUGUUCGACCUUUGAAAUCUUACGUGAUCUGA